AAGUCGUAACAAGUUUCCGAUAAGGUGGAACCGUGCGGAAGGAUCCAAUUGAAAGAGAGCAGGGUCUUCAUGGCCCGACCUCCAACCCUCUGUUGUUAUAACUACCUUGUUGCUUUGGCGGGACCGUCUCGGUCUCCGAGCGCACUAACCCUCGGGUUGGUGAGCGCCCGCCAGAGUCCAACCAAACUCUUGUAUUAAACCAGUCGUCUGAGUAUAAAAUUUUAAUUAAAUUAAAA
rnacentral:misc_RNA from 1 species